GGCAGAGCGUCUGUCUUGUAAACAGAAGGUCCCUGGUUCGAUUCCAGCAUGAGGCA
rnacentral:tRNA from 1 species